GGGCCCGCACAAGCGGUGGAGCAUGUGGUUUAAUUCGAUGAUACGCGAGGAACCUUACCAGGGCUUAAAUGGGAAAUGACAGGGGCAGAGACGCCCCCUUCUUCGGACAUUUUUCAAGGUGCUGCAUGGUUGUCGUCAGCUCGUGCCGUGAGGUGUCAGGUUAAGUCCUAUAACGAGCGCAACCCCUACCGUUAGUUGCCAGCGUGUAAUGACGGGGACUCUAACGGAACUGCCGGUGCAAACCGUGAGGAAGGUGGGGACGACGUCAAAUCAUCACGGCCCUUACGUCCUGGGCCACACACGUGCUACAAUGGUAGGUACAGAGGGAAGCCACCCCGCGAGGGGGCGCAAAUCCAUAAAACCGAUCUCAGUUCGGAUUGGAGUCUGCAACUCGACUCCAUG
rnacentral:rRNA from 1 species